rnacentral:misc_RNA from 1 species
AACGCACAUUGCGCCUCCGGGUAUUCCUGGAGGCAUGCCUGUUCGAGCGUCGUUUAGACCAUGAGGCUUUGCCUUGCGAUGGCGUUUGGAACUUCCGCAGGGAAGUCCAUCCGUUCAAACCUAUUGGCAUCUGAAAUUGGCCCAGCACAGCAAAAUGUGUCUUGGGAGUCGAUGGAAAAGAUGCCUCGUACUCCAUGUUUUAGCGAUGGAACAUGUAUUGGUCGACCUCGGAUCAGGCAAGAUUACCCGCUGAACUUAA